GUAGCAUCAAACAAACAACAAUAUAAUUCAACUCGAUUAUAUUUUAUACAUUCAAUCACAAAUAUUCUACAUCAAUACUAUAUAUAAUUCGCAUCCAGUUUUCUAUAAGACCAGUUGCGUGAGCAGUCUUUUACAUUGUAGCAACAAAACAUUAAGAUAUACAUUAUGCAAGUGUAGACAGUUAUAAUAUUUUAGCAAAGUUUCUAAAUAAUAUCCCUACAAAUGUUGACUAUAUAUACAAGCAAAUAUCAACUACACAAACAUUGAAUAUUUUGAAUUAAGUUCAAUUGAAGGACGCCAACAUUGCUAUUUUUUGGAUCAAGUAGAAUCCAAUAUGACAGUCAACCGCCAUAAUUAAACUUGCGGUAUUUCGACGAACUGAAAAUGUACCGUUUGUGGUGCAUACAGCAACAAUGCAAACAGUCCUCGUAGCGUUUGCAUUGCCUAACCUUGUGGAACAACCGGUUCGCUGGUAAAGUCGUUUUUGAGUGAAUUUUAUGUUUCAAAGAACGUAAAUAUUUUUGCGUGGAUAGGACGGCGUCCACCGAACAAGAGUAGCUUCUCUUCGCCAGUUUUGUUCCGAGGUGACAACAUUUUCGAUUCAUUACCGUGUCCUGGCAUUUGUUCGCCAAACAUUUCUUAAAACCUAAAUGUGAAAAGAGAAUGUGUGAGUACACGUUUUGAACUUA